AUCCUUUUGUAGUUCGUGAGCAUGAAGAUUGGGUGUUCAUGCACAUGUGUGAGAUGUGCCACCCUUGAACCUUGUUAUGACAUUGGCAUUUUACCCAUCUGGCC
ensembl:snoRNA